ensembl:lncRNA
AGGUGCCUUUGAACAGGGUAUGGUAGUAGGUGCCUUUGAACAGGGUAUGGUAGUAGGUGCCUUUGAACAGGGUGUGGUAGUAGGUGCCUUUGAACAGGGUAUGGUAGUAGGUGCCUUUGAACAGGGUAUGGUAGUAGGUGCCUUUGAACAGGGUAUGGUAGUAGGUGUCUUUGAAUGGGGUAUGGUAGUAGGUGCCUUUGAACAGGGUAUGGUAGUAGGUGUCUUUGAAUGGGGUAUGGUAGUAGGUGCCUUUGAACAGGGUGUGGUAGUAGGUGCCUUUGAACAGGGUAUGGUAGUAGGUGCCUUUGAACAGGGUAUGGUAGUAGGUGCCUUUGAAC